rnacentral:rRNA from 1 species
UGCCACAGCCAUAUCACCCUGCAGCCCAAGACUGGUCACCCACUGAAGCUAAGCAGGGUUGAGCCUGGUCAGUACCUGGAUGGGAGACCUCCUGGGAAAACUAGGUUGCUGUUGGAA